AGCCAUUCCGCGUGAGUGAAGAAGGCCUUCGGGUUGUAAAGCUCUUUCGGCAGGAACGAAACGGCGAGCUCUAACAUAGCUCGCUAAUGACGGUACCUGAAGAAGAAGCACCGGCUAACUACGUGCCAGCAGCCGCGGUAAUACGUAGGGUGCGAGCGUUAAUCGGAAUUACUGGGCGUAAAGCGUGCGCAGGCGGUUGUGUAAGACAGGUGUGAAAUCCCCGGGCUUAACCUGGGAACUGCGCUUGUGACUGCACGACUAGAGUAUGGCAGAGGGGGGUGGAAUUCCACGUGUAGCAGUGAAAUGCGUAGAGAUGUGGAGGAACACCGAUGGCGAAGGCAGCCCCCUGGGCCAAUACUGACGCUCAUGCACGAAAGCGUGGGGAGCAAACAGGAUUAGAUACCCUGGUAGUCCACGCCCUAAACGAUGUCGACUAGGUGUUCGGUGAGGAGACUCAUUGAGUACCGCAGCUAACGCGUG
rnacentral:rRNA from 1 species